rnacentral:rRNA from 1 species
GACGGGGAAUGCAAGCGUUAUCCGGAAUCACUGGGCGUAAAGCGUCUGUAGGUGGUGAUGCAAGUCACUGGUGCAAAACUCUGGCUCAACCGGAGGAAAGCCAGUGAAACUGCAUGACUAGAGUGUGGGAGAGGUAGAAGGAAUUCCCUGAGUAGCGGUGAAAUGCGUAGAUACAGGGAAGAACACCGGAGGCGAAAGCGUUCUACUGGAACACAACUGACGAUGAGAGACGCAAGCUAGGGGAGCGAAUGGG